CAAAGGAAUUGACGGGGGCCCGCACAAGCGGUGGAGCAUGUGGUUUAAUACGAAGCAACGCGAAGAACCUUACCAGGUCUUGACAUCCUUUGACCACUCUAGAGAUAGAGCUUCCCCUUCGGGGGCAAAGUGACAGGUGGUGCAUGGUUGUCGUCAGCUCGUGUCGUGAGAUGUUGGGUUAAGUCCCGCAACCAGCGCAACCCUUAUUGAUAGUUGCCAUCAAACAGAUGGGCACUCUAGCAA
rnacentral:rRNA from 1 species